UGCCCCAACCUCUCCGCCUCUCCCCCGCCCUCCCCUUAUCCCUGGGAAGGGGGCGCAGCGUGGGAAAGGGAUGGUUGAGUUUUAACCGGAGGCUGAGCGGUGAGUGGGAUCAGUGUGCACGCACCGCCCGCAGCCGAGCGCCGAGCGGCCGCUGCAGUUAACUCCUCCCUGCCCGCUGCGCGACCCUCCUCGGAGCCCACGCUCCGCCACCAUGAAGAGAGCUCACCCGGACUACAGCUCCUCUGAUAGCGAGCUGGACGAGACCAUAGAGGUGGAGAAGGAGAGCGCGGACGAGAAUGGAAACUUGAGUUCGGCGCUGGGUUCCAUGUCCCCAACAACAUCGUCCCAGGUUUUGGCCAGGAAAAGACGGAGAGGCAUCAUCGAGAAGCGCCGACGAGACCGGAUCAAUAACAGUUUGUCUGAGCUGAGAAGGCUGGUACCCAGUGCUUUUGAGAAGCAGGGAUCUGCCAAGCUAGAGAAGGCUGAGAUCUUGCAGAUGACUGUGGAUCACCUGAAAAUGCUGCACACUGCAGGAGGCAAAGGUUAUUUUGACGCGCACGCCCUGGCUAUGGACUAUCGGAGUUUGGGGUUUCGGGAAUGCCUGGCCGAAGUUGCCCGUUAUCUGAGCAUCAUUGAAGGACUCGAUGCCUCCGACCCUCUUCGCGUUCGCCUGGUCUCCCAUCUCAACAACUACGCAUCCCAGCGGGAAGCCGCGAGCGGCGCUCACGGGAGCCUCGGACACAUUCCCUGGGGAAGCGUCUUCGGACAUCACCCACACAUCGCACACCCUCUGCUGCUGCCCCAGAAUGGCCACGGGAACGCUGGCACCACGGCUUCACCCACGGAGCCGCAUCACCAGGGCAGGCUGGCUUCUGCCCAUACGGAGGCGCCGGCCUUGCGAGCGCCCCCUAGUGGCGGCUUGGGACCGGUGCUUCCCGUGGUGACCUCGGCCUCCAAACUGUCACCACCGUUGCUAUCCUCUGUGGCCUCGCUCUCAACCUUCCCCUUCUCCUUCAGCUCCUUCCACCUACUGAGCCCUUCGACACCCACGCAGGCAGCAAACCUUGGCAAGCCCUAUAGACCUUGGGGGACAGAGAUUGGAGCUUUCUAAAGAACUGAUGCUGUAGAACAAGGGAGGGCAAGCUUAAAAUCCCAGGUAUGCUGGGACCGUUGCCAACACCACCUUAAAGUCGCCAGUAAGAGUCAGGAAAAAGGUACAUUUUCAGAUAAUUUUUUUUUUUUCAAAAGACUAAAGGUUUGUUGGUUACUUUUUUCUUUAAAAUUUUUUUAUCAUGUCAUGCAUAGCAGUUUUUAAAAAAAAUUAGUUAUUAAUUUUUGUUUAAGAGAUUCAAUUGAGGUAGUGAAUACGAACCAACACUUGGAUCCAUUGUCUGUUCUGUUCCUCAUUUAUUUUGUAAACUCGUCUGUCCAAAAAAAUGAUUCCAUCUGCCUCAGCUUGGGGAAAUCUUAACAUUAGUGUUUGGGGUCUGAUUCCCGGCGUCCCAAACCACUAUGCUCAGUGUUAACACGAUUUUGUGAUAAUACUUCGACAGACUAAGGUGUUGUAUAAGUGAUGUUCUUUGGGGAGGGAGGGUCAGCAAAGCAUUAUAUUUCCAAACGAAGCGUUGACAAAUCAGAGGAUCAGCUUUAUUCUAGAAACACUAGCUCCCUGCCUCUUCGAGCAGUGAGGUGGAUGGAGAAUCUCGUCAGUGGCCCUGAAUCCAGGUGACCAGCUGCUGUGGCCUGCUUGGCUUUUCUGUUCUGAUAUUUCAGGUUUAGAAACAGCCGCCGGUACGCGAGGUCCCCAUUCGGAGCAUCGGCGGCAAGCAAGACAGUUCUGUAGACCACGCCAGCCCUUGGCAGCCCCGAGCAAUGCAGAGCAUUUGCAGUCUCGCAGAUCUCAUGCUCACCAGUGUCAACCUGCUUGACAGGAAUCUCUCUCUCCUGAAGGCGUUCUCCUUUGCUCCUGUUAACCAGAGGCCGGCACAGUGGCCUAGACUCAGCACACUCAGGGACCCGCACCAGAAGGGGUGUGGUCUUAAUUCCGGAAGUAAGAGGUCCCAGCAGAAAGCAAGCCGUGUGGACUUCCGCUUGAAAUACAGUGCUCAUCUCGAGCUUGUUGAGCUGCAGGGUCCUCUAGGAUGCUUCAGUAGUCUACACGGGUUGACGGUGUGGGCUAAGUCUCUAACAUUUGAGCUAUGUACAGUUCCUGUGGUGAUGAGGGUUGAACCUGAGAAUUUUGGCACCGUGAGCCCAAGUGUCACAGGGACAGUGUUGCACGUGGCCAUCAAAUCUUAGACUUUCUGGAUUCCAGGACCCUGAGAUCGAGUGAGAUGUGAAUACUGUGGAAGAGCUCAGACCUCUGAGAACCACGAUUGACAGUCAGAGGAAUCAGAAUAGCAUCAUGGGCACAGAAGUGGCUGCAAUCCUGGAUGCCCGCCCGAUCACUCUUCAGAAGCGAAUGGGCCCGGACGAUGUGGCCAGACAUAGCUCUACCCACAGCUCUACUUCUAAUUGACUGGUAAUCAGUAUUUGAUGAUUGAGCAAGACUUGCAAAGUGAAUUUUGGCUUAGGAUGAUGGCAGAAUUUCUGCCAGGUAAGAUGACAUACUUGUCAUCCCAGCAUGCAAGAGACGGAGAAGGAGGAUGGCGUUCGAGGCCAGUUUCAGAUGGACCACAGGUGUGAAGCCUGCCUGGGAUUCACCAGCCCACAAACCAAACAAAGCAAACAGAAAGGACCGGAUUGUAAGAUUUUUCUAAAACAGUCCCAAGCUUACUUCUGCCACGCCGAACGACAUGUUUAUGUGACGUCGUGGUCUCAGCACUAGUAGGAAUAAACUGCAUGUGUCAAUCAGCUCAAAAGGAUGCCACAGAUGUGUUCCAUACUGCCAUAUCAAAUAGCCACAUUUUAACCCUUUACAUAAAAGAAAAUGAGGGCCAGUGCAGUGGCUCAGUGGAUUAAAAACUGUUGUCA